ensembl:snoRNA
UGGAUCGAUGAUGGCCACUGAUGGUGUAUGAGUCGAAUAUGAUGAGUACGUGUCUGGAACACUGAGGUCCAA